GGGCGUAAGGGCUCGCAGGCGGUUUCUUAAGUCUGAUGUGAAAGCCCCCGGCUCAACCGGGGAGGGUCAUUGGAAACUGGGGAACUUGAGUGCAGAAGAGGAGAGUGGAAUUCCACGUGUAGCGGUGAAAUGCGUAGAGAUGUGGAGGAACACCAGUGGCGAAGGCGACUCUCUGGUCUGUAACUGACGCUGAGGAGCGAAAGCGUGGGGAGCGAACAGGAUUAGAUACCCUGGUAGUCCACGCCGUAAACGAUGAGUGCUAAGUGUUAGGGGGUUUCCGCCCCUUAGUGCUGCAGCUAACGCAUUAAGCACUCCGCCUGGGGAGUACGGUCGCAAGACUGAAACUCAAAGGAAUUGACGGGGGCCCGCACAAGCGGUGGAGCAUGUGGUUUAAUUCGAAGCAACGCGAAGAACCUUACCAGGUCUUGACAUCCUCUGACAAUCCUAGAGAUAGGACGUCCCCUUCGGGGGCAGAGUGACAGGUGGUGCAUGGUUGU
rnacentral:rRNA from 2 species